rnacentral:rRNA from 1 species
UACGGAGGGUGCAAGCGUUAUCCGGAUUCACUGGGCUUAAAGGGUGCGUAGGCGGGUCUGUAAGUCCGUGGUGAAAUCUCCAAGCUUAACUUGGAAACUGCCAUGGAUACUAUAGGUCUUGAAUACCGUGGAGGUGAGCGGAAUAUGUCAUGUAGCGGUGAAAUGCUUAGAUAUGACAUAGAACACCAAUUGCGAAGGCAGCGCACUGCACGAAUACUGACACUGAGGCACGAAAGCGUGGGGAUCAAACAGG